rnacentral:piRNA from 1 species
UGUGAAGGAUAGACAUAUCCACAAGUGUCCC